rnacentral:rRNA from 1 species
UGGGGAAUUUUGGACAAUGGGCGAAAGCCUGAUCCAGCAAUGCCGCGUGUGUGAAGAAGGCCUUCGGGUUGUAAAGCACUUUUGUCCGGAAAGAAAUCCUUGGCUCUAAUACAGUCGGGGGAUGACGGUACCGGAAGAAUAAGCACCGGCUAACUACGUGCCAGCAGCCGCGGUAAUACGUAGGGUGCAAGCGUUAAUCGGAAUUACUGGGCGUAAAGCGUGCGCAGGCGGUUUGCUAAGACCGAUGUGAAGUCCCCGGGCUCAACCUGGGAACUGCAUUGGUGACUGGCAGGCUAGAGUAUGGCAGAGGGGGGUAGAAUUCCACGUGUAGCAGUGAAAUGCGUAGAGAUGUGGAGGAAUACCGAUGGCGAAGGCAGCCCCCUGGGCCAAUACUGACGCUCAUGCACGAAAGCGUGGGGAGCAAACAGGAUUAGAUACCCUGGUAGUCCACGCCCUAAACGAUGUCAACUAGUUGUUGGGGAUUCAUUUCCUUAGUAACGUAGCUAACGCGUGAAGUUGACCGCCUGGGGAGUACGGUCGCAAGAUUAAAACUUAAAGGAAUUGACGGGGUCAUAGCUGUUUCCU